rnacentral:tRNA from 1 species
AAAGUGCCGGGGCUUCUCCCGUUUUUUUCCCUCAACGGGAGAAGC